rnacentral:lncRNA from 1 species
CUUUUCUUGUGAUAAGUUUCCUAGCAGCUUUGGCUCUUUCUUUACAGAGAGUGGAACUGGGAGAAAAGGCUCAGUAACCUGAGGGGAAGGUGGUGAAUACCAGCAUGUUAAUAUCUCCAUCUCAUGACAUCUGUUUGUGUAAGAUAAAACUCUCCACAAGCACAUGUGAUUUGAACUAAUCUUUACUUUGAGGGGUAAUAGUGUAUUGUGGCCCAUAUGUGGAAAUGUGGAUAUUCAAAAAUGCCAGUUUUCAAGGAGCCCAGUUACCAAGUCAUCACAUCCUAAGAUAGAGUCAUCUUGUUGGCCACUAAGAGUAGUCAAGAAGGAAGUUUGAACUGUUACCAGGAAGAAGGGGUGGACUUCCUGGAAGGAUGAUCUGGGAGAGUUAAGGAAGACAAAGGGUAGAGGGGGAGCGUAAUGGAUAAAUGUAAAGGGGGCGUGGAGAGCCCAGAAAGGGAGGCAUAGAAUCAAGGAAUUGUGGACUUAUGCAUUUUCCAAGGUUAUGGAAUCUAAGUUCUUUUUAUUUCCAGGGCACAUAUGCUGUUUUCUGAAUCAUGGCUUACAUCAUCUAAAAUGCAUCUUUUUUCCUGACUCCAGUGGACCAACAUGAAAAACAGGUUGUGCUUGGUGGGACAGGAACAGCGGGCUCAUAAAGACCUCAGAUGUGCAGGAUACCCCCAUUUGAGCAUCUGCCUUGUUUUCUCUAGAAAACCCAAAAGACCUUUCUGCUAUUUAUAAUGAUUCCAAACAUUUGAGGAAAGCAGUUUAUAAACACGAAAGGAUGCUUAGAAAAGAGACCAGGAAACUGGGGAGUCAGAGAGGUAAUUACAGAGAAAAAUGCUAAUCUCUUAGCAGCAGCAGUGGUUUGGAAAAGGAUUGAUUGCCUUCUGGAUUUCUGAGCUGAUGGUGUCCUGGGUGCACUUUGGUCUAGUGUCUGAUCUAAUAUAUUCUAUCUUGACUUUUAGAGUAUCUUAACCAAUAAAAAAAGUCUUGCUUUUUGGAUGCCACGUGGUAAGAUUUGAGAGGGAUCUGGGAAAGACACUGUUAUCCCAUGAUACCUUCCCCAGUGGAUCAGUAGGAUGUCAGAACAGAGAAGGACCUUUCAGAGAGGUGCUUGGG